AUGAACGCUGGCGGCGUGCCUAAUACAUGCAAGUCGAGCGAACAGACGAGGAGCUUGCUCCUCUGACGUUAGCGGCGGACGGGUGAGUAACACGUGGAUAACCUACCUAUAAGACUGGGAUAACUUCGGGAAACCGGAGCUAAUACCGGAUAAUAUAUUUAACCGCAUGGUUCAAUAGUGAAAGACGGUUUUGCUGUCACUUAUAGAUGGAUCCGCGCCGCAUUAGCUAGUUGGUAAGGUAACGGCUUACCAAGGCAACGAUGCGUAGCCGACCUGAGAGGGUGAUCGGCCACACUGGAACUGAGACACGGUCCAGACUCCUACGGGAGGCAGCAGUAGGGAAUCUUCCGCAAUGGGCGAAAGCCUGACGGAGCAACGCCGCGUGAGUGAUGAAGGUCUUCGGAUCGUAAAACUCUGUUAUUAGGGAAGAACAAAUGUGUAAGUAACUAUGCACGUCUGGACGGUACCUAAUCAGAAAGCCACGGCUAACUACGU
rnacentral:rRNA from 1 species